CCUUAACCUGCUAACUAGUCACACGAACUCCGGUUCGUGGCGACUUCUUAGAGGGACUGUCAGUGUUUAACUGACGGAAGUUUGAGGCAAUAACAGGUCUGUGAUGCCCUUAGAUGUUCUGGGCUGCACGCGCGCUACACUGAUGAAACCAGCGAGUAUAUAACCUUGGCCGACAGGUCUGGGUAAUCUUGUGAAAUUUCAUCGUGCUGGGGAUAGACCAUUGCAAUUAUUGGUCUUCAACGAGGAAUUCCUAGUAAGCGCGAGUCAUCAGCUCGCGUUGAUUACGUCCCUGCCCUUUGUACACACCGCCCGUCGCUACUACCGAUUGAAUGGCUUAGUGAGACCUUCGGAUUGGAGUUCACCAGCCGCAAGGCAGGAGGACCCUGAGAAGAUGGUCAAACUUGGUCAUUUAGAGGAAGUAAAAGUCG
rnacentral:rRNA from 1 species